rnacentral:tRNA from 1 species
GGAUCUGUAGCGUAGUUUGGAUAGCGCACCCGGCUUCGGACCGGGCGGUCGCGGGUUCAAAAUGACGUAUGCAAGGCAUACCCAUGGAAAUCCCGCCAGAUCCG